AAUAGAUACCCCGGUAGUCCACGCCGUAAACGUUGGGCGCUAGAUGUGGGGACCAUUCCACGGUUUCCGUGUCGCAGCUAACGCAUUAAGCGCCCCGCCUGGGGAGUACGGCCGCAAGGCUAAAACUCAAAGGAAUUGACGGGGGCCCGCACAAGCGGCGGAGCAUGCGGAUUAAUUCGAUGCAACGCGAAGAACCUUACCAAGGCUUGACAUAUACGAGAACGCUCUAGAAAUAGGGAACUCUUUGGACACUCGUAUACAGGUGGUGCAUGGUUGUCGUCAGCUCGUGUCGUGAGAUGUUGGGUUAAGUCCCGCAACGAGCGCAACCCUCGUUCUAUGUUGCCAGCGGUUCGGCCGGGAACUCAUAGGAGACUGCCGGGGUCAACUCGGAGGAAGGUGGGGAUGACGUCAAAUCAUCAUGCCCCUUAUGUCUUGGGCUUCACGCAUGCUACAAUGGCCGGUACAAAGGGCUGCAAUCCGUAAGGUGGAGCGAAUCCCAAAAAGCCGGUCUCAGUUCGGAUUGAGGUCUGCAACUCGA
rnacentral:rRNA from 1 species